GUUCUCGCUUCAGCAGCACAUAUACUAAAAUUGGAAUGAUACAGAGAAGAUUAGCAUGGCCCCUGCACAAGGAUGACAUGCAAAUUCAUGAAGCGUUCCAUAUUUUG
ensembl:snRNA U6 U6 spliceosomal RNA